ACUAGAUUUUGGAUCCGCGCACCCGCGCAGAUGUAUCUUCAAAAUGAUUAUAUGUUAAGCAUUCAUGUUACUUGUUCAUAGUUUAUAGAGUUUUGGGAUUGGUGUAUUUUGUUCAGUUUGUUCAGUAUCCAUUUUUAAACUAUGGGGAUGUAUUUGUUUUGGUACAAAUUUUCAUUUUACUUGGUAACGUGAAUAUUAAAGUGUAAAAUAUUUGAGUAUUAAGUUUAUAUUGUGUGGGUUUAUUAAAUUAUACUAAAAUUUUAUGAUUUAAAGUAUAUUUUAAAGUUAUAAUUAUAUAUAGUUUUUAAACAGUCAUAAUAAAUACUAAUGAAAAGAUAAAAAAAUAUACUAUUCGAUUUUUUUCAAAAUUUCUUAGUUUUUUUUUUAAAUUAAAGUAAUUACGCGAAUAUAUGUCAUUAAUGGUUAGAUAUUAUAUGUGAUUUGAAAGAUUAGAAGCAAAAUAAGAGUAUGACUGGUUUUCCCGCUAUCACCCGCAAACACAACUUUUGCGGUUGGUAGUGGUUGUUGACGUUUUGCAACAAUAAUUCAAAUCGCUCUAAACCGUUUCAAACCGCUCUAAACCUCAUUAAUUCAAAAGCUGGUUCCAGCUAGCUUUGCGGUUGCGGGAGGAUAAUAUUUUUUCAAACAAUAUAAAUACAAAAAAUAAAAAUAUUCAAUAAAAUUUUUAAAUUAGAAUUAUAAAAAAUACUAAAAUAUAUCUAUUUUAUUUAAUUAAUAUUAUAAAUUUUAAAUUUUUUAGUAAUUUUUAAUAAUUUUUAAUAAUUUUUAAAAAUUUAAAACUAUAAACUUCUAAAUAUAAUUUUUAUAUUUAUUAUAAUAUUAUGAUUUUUGAUAUUUUUAUAAUUAUAAAAAAUGUAAAUAUUGUUAAUUUAUUAUUUAACAGCUGCUUCAUUGGUAGUUAAUCAGUCAUAAGUAUUUCACAAAUGCACCAAUUUCUAACUGCAGAUACAUUUGUACAAAUUUUUUAAAACCGUUAGAAACCGCAACCGUUGCGUUUGGACCAGCCAGACCCUAAGAAUAUUGUGGUAGUUGAUUGAUAUCAAAAUGGUUAUGGUGAUUGCUUAGAUAUAGGAAAAGAUUUGGAAGAUAAUUUCAGUUAGGAAAAUAAUAAAUGAUAAUUUUCAAUUUUGAAUUACAUAAUUUAUAAUACAUAUACUGGUUUUGAUUCGGCAGACGAAAAUUAAACCGAUGGAAUUCUAUUGUUAAGCAAAGUUAUUAAUAUGUAUAUAGGAAUGUAUCUAUUGACUCAUUUGAUUCAUUAGACAAAGAUGAACGAUCGAUCGUAGACAAACAAUACAAUUUGAUUUUGUUUAGUAAUGUUAUAAAAUGAUACGAAGGAAAGUACGUAUUAUAUUUAGAUGGUGUACAAAUGUUCUGGUUUAGUAAUGGUAUUUUAUUUUAAGGGUUUAUUAAAUAAAUCAAACGAUUGAGGGUUUAGUAAAUCAACCAAACGUCUGUGUUUUACUAAUGGUAUACAACGAUAUUUUUACUUUAGUAGCAAUUGUAAUUAGAUGGGCUUGUUAUGCUUUGGUUUAGUAACGGUUUUGUAAUAUCAUGAAUUAGUAUUAGCAAUAAAUAAAACGGUUGUGUUUUAAGGACAGUGGCAUAAGAAUGUAAUUUUUGAGGAAAAUUCAGGGUUAAAUAAAAUAUGUAUCAUGUUUUAAUAGAUUAGAUGGUAUGCUGGGUUCGAUAGCCAGUGACUGAGUUUUGGUGUUUUAAUGUAAACUCUAGGGCUAAUGAAUAAAAUUACCAGAGUGCCCUCAUCUUUAAUGUUAGACCUGCAAAUUUUACAGUCGACCUGUAUUCCACAUCUGACUUUUUUUUUCAUUUUUUUGCGUUUUCUUCAUUUUUUUCUUUUUAAUCUUGUUCAUUUCGACUUAGGUAUAUCAUAUCUGUAUUAUAAAUCAUGAUUUUGAACUUGAAAUCAACAAAAUGAUGAACUUUUUAUUUUUGACUGAUUAACCAACCGAAUCAGGCUAAAUCGCCAUGGUGAGAGACCGAAUUAAGUUUUCUCGGCGAGUAAUCGGAUGCGGAGAGCGCAUUUUUGAACAAGGGUUAAAAGCUAGGGGUGAGAAAAAAAAAAACCAAAUCGAUCCAACUGAACCCAACCGAUCUAAACCAAACCAAAGUAUAUGUUUAACCCAUUUGGUUCAAGAUUUUAACAACCCAAAUAGGUCGGUUUGGUUUGGUUUUAACCCGAACCAAACUGAAAAACCAAAGUAUUUUUUUAAUUAGAUUAAUUAUAUAUCCUAAUAAUAUUAAGAUCUGAUAUAUUUAACCAUUUAACCUAAAAAAAUUAACAUAAUCUAAUACAUUUUAAUUUUAAAUGAAUAGAAUAAACAUAACUAAAAAAUUAAAUAAAAAAUAUAAAUCUCAUAAAAAAAAUAUUUUAUGAUAUUUAUAUUAGGUUUAAAGAUAAUAAUAUAAAAUUAUUGGAUUAUAUUUUUUAUAUAUUUAUUGGUGAUAUUUGGUUUUACGUUUAAAUAUGAAGAAAAUAAUGAUUAGUCAAAUGAUGUUUUGUUUAUGUUUUUAUAAAUCAUAUUUUGUAAUUGAACUAAAAAAAAACUAAAAGAUCAACUCGGUUGAACUGAAAAAUACAGACAAAACCAAAUUAAACUGAACCAAACACAAACCAAACUAAAACGAACCGAACCAUUGGGUUGACUUUGGUUCAAGUUUUCUUAGACCCAAAUAACCCAAACCAAACCGAACCCGUAAAUAAAUCGAAAUGUCCACCCCUGGUUAAAGCCAAUGAGAAAGAGUCCAUUUAGCUCACGAGUUGUCCCGAUUUUUGUAUAGGACAUGCGUUGUUCCCUUUCCGAUCUCCAGUAUCAAAACAAUGAAGCGCACAUGUUCAUCACACGCUUCUUUAACGCGAAAGGUUUAGGUGAAUUAUCCCACUACAAGAAAACACACCACAUUCCGACGGCUAUACCGAUGGACAAGACUUUCGUCGAUUUCUUCUGACGGAAUUCCGACAAGAAACCGACGAACUAUAUUUUUGUAUUCGUCGGUUUGUCGUCGGAAAUUUUCGAUGCCAAACCGACGAAACUUGUGUCGUCGGAAAUAUCCAACAUAAUUCCGGCGGAUAUUUUGACCGUUAGGAGCUCCGACGAAUUACCGACAAAAAUAUUCCGAUGGCUAUUUUGACCGUCCGGAUUCCGACAGAAUUCCGACGGAGAAAUUUGACCGUUUUAGAAGUCUGAUGCAUUUCCGACGGACAUAUUUUGACCGUUCGGAUUCCGAUAGAAUUCUGACGAAGAAAUUUGACAGUUUUAGAAAUCCGAUGAAUUUCAUACGAAAUUCCGACGAAAUUCAAGUUUCCAACAACGAGAUCAUUGACAAGAUGAAGCGUUUGUUCCCAAAUGAAUUUUAGUUUUUUUUUUGUUUAAAAACAUGAAAAUGUUUUUUUAUUUAUGUAAAACGUUUUUGUAUAAUAAGAUUAUCUUUAAUUUCAGUUUUUAUUGAUUUUUUUAAAAAAAUUCUAAAUUGCACAUUUAUUUAAAAAUAAAAUAAUAAAAUUAUUCGAAAUAGUAAAAUAAUAAAAAUUCCGACGAAACUUAUUCUGUCGGAAAAUUCCGACGGGCAGUAUCGUCGGAAAAGUCCGUCGAAUAGGUUUCCUCGGAAAUUUCCGACGAAUGUUCACUGUCGGAAAUUUCCGACGAAAGAGAUCCGUCGAAAAUAUCCGACGAAACUGCUCGUCGGAGUUUUCCUGCGGACUCCGACGGAAUUUGGCUCCCAGAAAUUCCGACGGAUUCUGGUGUCGUCGGAAUAUCGGAGUAAAACUAUCGUCGGAAUUUUGUCGGACAUAUUUCCGACGACAGCUUCUAUCGGAAAUACAUUCCGACCAAUUACCGACGAAACCCUUCCGAUGAAACGUGCUGUCGGAUAUCCGUCAGAAUAUUAUCCAUCGGUAAAGAUCGGAAUUUCGUCAGAAUUUGUGACGAAUUUCCGACGACCUUUUUUCGACCAGUUGACCGUUUUCGUCGGAAUUUUGUCGGAAUUGCCAUAUUCCGACGAAAGUUCGACGAAUAUGGCCGUCGGAUUUCGCGUGUUUUCUUGUAGUGUCCAUUUUAUUCCGAAUAUCUGAUCUCUGUGUCACUGACUGUAUCUCCUGUCUCAAUCCAAAAUUAAAAUAAUAAAUAAUCAAAUUAUGAGAAAGAGGAUCAUCAGAAAGCUACGUAGGAGGAGAAGAAGCUUCUCUCUCUUAUACACUCAAACCAGUAGAAAAUUUGAUUUUUGUAUCUGUUUCCAAAUCUCUGUCAGCUUUUUGAGUCCUUCAUCAACUAAGGUUUAUGAAAAGCUUUUCUCAAUUGGCUUCAUAGGUGAGAGACUUCUUCAUCCUUUUCAAGUCUGUAUUCUCUUAACAGCCAGUUUGAUGCUUUGUUGGGGAUCCAAUAUCUUCUUCUUGCUUAGACUUGUGGAUGUAGUGAGACAUGGUUUCUAUGGUAAGAGCAUCUCCAAUGGUGCUUCAUUUUCCAAUUUUGCUUCGUUAUUUUUUAUUCCAUUGGUACUUCAUUUUUUUCUUCAUUUCUUCAAAUUUUGAAGAAUUGAACAAUAUUUCUUUAAAUUUGAAGAAAUAUUGUUCGGUUCUUCAUUUUUUUAAGAUGAACUUUUUUAUUUAUAAACUAAUCCUUAACUUUUAUUUAUUGUUAUUUUUUUUACUUAAACAAAUUAAAAGUUUUAAUGUCAUCCAAUUAAUUUCAAAUUGUACACUAUUCCUUUUAUCUAAUUGAAUGUUAAUAAUGAAGAAUAUGAAAUUAUUGAUUUCUAAGAAUUUUAUGUUCAAUUUAAAAGAAUUUAGAAUAAAAUAAGCUCAAUAUUUGUUUUAAAACACAUUUUUAAUCACUUAAGACAUAUAUGUAUUUAGUGCUUUUUAUAAAAUCCUUUAUUUAUUUAUUUAUGUGUAAUAAUUGUAUUAUAUAUAAUAAUUAUUAAUUUAUAAUAACUAGUAAUUGAGUCGAAUUAAUGUUAAAACAAAACAGAUGGGUAAAAUUAGUAAAUUUGAAAAAGUAUACGGUAUUAUUAAUAAUUAAUUAUAAAGUGGUGGUAGAAUAUACUUAGAAUAUUUCAUUUUGAAGAAAAAUAUGAAGCAAACCAUUGGAGAGCUGAGCAUGUUACUUUAUUUUUGAAAAACUUCAAAUUUUGAAGAAAAAAAAUGAAGAUCAUUGGAGAUGCUCUAACGGUGGGUUUUAACAUGAGGAAAGUGGCAGAAGGAAAUGUUACAAUCAAAUUAUGGGAUCUUGGCGUUCAACCAAGAUUCCUCAGCAUGUGGGAACGUUAUUGCCGCUCUGUUGCUGCCAUUGUGUAAAGGAUCUUCGACUCUUGAUUGGCUCGUAAAACAUUCAAAUUUAAAGAAUUAAACUUCACCAAGAACAAAUGUUCUCUCUCUUCUUGAUCAUCUUAGUCUUCCUGUCUUGUGUGCUUUGUUGUUGAUGAUGAUGAUGGUUGAAGACAAUUCUCAGUAUGAAACAAGACUUGGUCUCUCCUACUGGUCUGAUCAAGUCUUGUCUCUGUAUAUCAGAUGUUGAUUGCAUUCUAUUCAUCAGCAUUGCAAUCUUUGAUAACACAAAAACAAAGUUGGCUCAACCUUAAAUUCAAAACUCAAAGAAAGAGAAAUAAGCAGGGUAUCAUCAAAUCCAAGGUUUUGCUUAUUUCUCUUCAAACCAGUUUGUAAAUGGGUUACGAGAAACCUCUAAAGUUAUUACAAAAACAGAUAAACAUAGCAAUGGGAAAAAGUUUUAGAUAGUAUAGAUAACAAUGUUACAUUCAAGCUU